rnacentral:rRNA from 1 species
UACAGAGGUGGCAAGCGUUGUUCGGAAUUACUGGGCGUAAAGGGCUCGUAGGCGGCCAACUAAGUCGGACGUGAAAAUCCCCCAGGCUUAACUUGGGAACUGCGUCCGAUACUGGAUGGCUUGAAUCCGGGAGAGGGAUGCGGAAUUCCAGGUGUAGCGGUGAAAUGCGUAGAUAUCUGGAGGAACACCGGUGGCGAAGGCGGCAUCCUGGACCGGUAUUGACGCUGAGUGAGCGAAAGCCAGGGGGAGCAAAACGGGG